AGGGUAGCGUAGGCGGCUGAUUAAGUCAGCGGUGAAAGGUAGCAGCUUAACUGUUUUACAUGCCGUUGAUACUGGUUAGCUUGAGUUGACAGAAGGCAGAUAGAAUUCCUGGUGUAGCGGUGAAAUGCUUAGAUACCAGGAGGAAUACCGAUUGCGAAGGCAGUCUGCUGCAGUCACACUGACGCUGAGGCUCGAAGGUGCGGGGAUCAAACAGGAUUAGAUACCCUUGU
rnacentral:rRNA from 1 species